rnacentral:rRNA from 1 species
CGCAGCCGCGGUAAUUCCAGCUCCAAUAGCGUAUAUUAAAGUUGUUGCAGUUAAAAAGCUCGUAGUUGAAUUUCGGGGUUAGUAGGUUGGUCAUGCCUCUGGUAUGUACUGGUCUCACUGAUUCCUCCUUCCUGAUGAACCUUAAUGCCAUUAAUUUGGUGUUUUGGGGAAUUUGGACUGUUACUUUGAAAAAAUUAGAGUGUUUAAAGCAAGCUAACGCUUGAAUACAUUAGCAUGGAAUAAUGAAAUAGGACGUUCGAUCCUAUUUUGUUGGUUUCUAGGAUUGACGUAAUGAUUAAUAGGGAUAGUUGGGGGCAUUAGUAUUCAAUUGUCAGAGGUGAAAUUCUUGGAUUUAUUGAAGACUAACUACUGCGAAAGCAUUUGCCAAGGAUGUUUUCAUUAAUCAAGAACGAAAGUUAGGGGAUCGAAGACGAUCAGAUACCGUCGUAGUCUUAACCAUAAACUAUGCCGACUAGGAGUCGGAUGAUGUUUUAAUUUUUAAUUGUACUCAUUCGGCGUC